rnacentral:rRNA from 1 species
AGGACGAACGCUGGCGGCGUGCUUAACACAUGCAAGUCAAGGGGGCCCAGUAGCAAUACUGGGCAACCGGCGAACGGGUGCGUAACACGUGAGCAACCUACCGAAAUGUGGGGGAUAGCCGGCCUAACGGCCGAGUAAUACCGCAUACGCUCUCGAUGAGGCAUUUCAUUGAGAGGAAACCUACGGGACAUUUCGAGGGGCUCGCGGCCUAUCAGCUAGUUGGAGAGGUAACGGCUCACCAAGGCAACGACGGGUA